rnacentral:tRNA from 1 species
GAUACGAUCAGCUAACAAAGCUUUCGGGCCCAUACCCCGAAUAUGAAGGUGAAACCCCGUCUCCUAUCA